rnacentral:rRNA from 1 species
GACGAACGCUGGCGGCGUGCUUAACACAUGCAAGUCGAAGGAAGAGCGAUGGAAGCUUGCUUCUAUCAAUCUUAGUGGCGAACGGGUGAGUAACGCGUAAUCAACCUGCCCUUCAGAGGGGGACAACAGUUGGAAACGACUGCUAAUACCGCAUACGAUCUAAUCUCGGCAUCGAGGAUAGAUGAAAGGUGGCCUCUACAUGUAAGCUAUCACUGAAGGAGGGGAUUGCGUCUGAUUAGCUAGUUGGAGGGGUAACGGCCCACCAAGGCGAUGAUCAGUAGCCGGUCUGAGAGGAUGAACGGCCACAUUGGGACUGAGACACGGCCCAGACUCCUACGGGAGGCAGCAGUGGGGAAUCUUCCGCAAUGGACGAAAGUCUGACGGAGCAACGCCGCGUGAGUGAUGACGGCCUUCGGGUUGUAAAGCUCUGUUAAUCGGGACGAAAGGCCUUCUUGCGAAUAGUGAGAAGGAUUGACGGUACCGGAAUAGAAAGCCACGGCUAACUACGUG